GACGAACGCUGGCGGCGUGCUUAACACAUGCAAGUCGAACGGUAAGGCCCUUCGGGGUACCCGAGUGGCGAACGGGUGAGUAACACGUGGGUAAUCUGCCCUGCACAUCGGGAUAAGCCUGGGAAACUGGGUCUAAUACCGAAUAGGACCACAGGACACAUGUCCUGUGGUGGAAAGCUUUUGCGGUGUGGGAUGGGCCCGCGGCCUAUCAGCUUGUUGGGGGGGUGAUGGCCUACCAAGGCGACGACGGGUAGCCGGCCUGAGAGGGUGUCCGGCCACACGGGGACUGACAUAGGGCCGAGACUCCGACGGGAGGAGGCAGGGGGGAAUGUGGAACAGGGGGCGAAGGCUUGAGGCGGCGCCGCCGGGGGGGGGAGGGCGGCCUUCGUGUUUUAACCCUCUUCCACCAUCGACGAGGGCCCGGGUGUUCUCGGCCUGCCGGUGGGUGGAAAAGAAGCCCCGGCCAACUCCGUG
rnacentral:rRNA from 1 species